AGGCCAGGCACUACUCUGUCCCAACAAUAAGCCCUGUACAUUGGGAAAGGUGCCGAGACAUGAACUUUGGUCUUCUCUGCAAUCCAUCUGGAGCAUUCACUGACAACAUCGACUUUGAAGUUGCACUGACCUGGCCAGCCCUGCCACUUACCAGGUUGGGCUGUGGCUUGCCUUUUCACUUCUUGUGUCCUGUUUAAGAAAUAUCUGCUAUCCCAAGCAUCUGGCAUCUUUCUUGACAUAUGUAGCAGUUGCUUUUUGACAGCUUGCUUCUUCAGUGAAUGAAUAAAUUAAUAAAGAGAAAUGUGAUGUUCAGUGAUCCAUUUUGCAGGCUCUUGAGUUUCUGCUUUCAAGUGACCCUCAGAAAUUCCUCCAUUCACUGCAGAGGUUCUGUUUCUCCUUGCUUUGUUCUGACUUUACGGCAGAACUAAGCUAAUGAGUUAGUUACUAUGGGUUAUCACUUGGAUUUGAAGAACCAUCAUUUCUAGGCAUUGCUGCUCAGAGUGGGUCUGCCCUCAGGGGAAGCUGUCUAACCAGAGCCUAACCCACUAGGGUUUUAUCAGAACCUAACUGACCUGAGGAAAAGAAAUACUCAACUCCAGCAAGCUCCAGCCUUCCAAAUGGAGGAGGAGAAAACCCAACUCCAGCCCACUUCAGCUAUCUUGUCCCACAUAAAGGGGAAGUGGAAGAAACCUGAGAAGCAGGCAUGAAGUUCACAGUCCAGAGACCUUGCCAUCGUAUCCCCUUUUGGAGACACAAGCCAGGAAGGAAGCUCUUCAGUGCAGCUGUGAAUAGAGAAAUGCUGGCUGAGGUUUUGGAGACACUGGGUGAUCAUUCCCAGUGAAAUUUUUAGAUCCCUGGGGACAUGAGCUGCUUUGUCUUUUCCAAGGACAGCAGACAGAGCAUGAAUGAGACCCCCAAAGAAGGGAAGCAAAUGAGACAAGCCCCACAAUUAUUCUGGCUUUUUGCCUAGAGACAAUCUAUGAACUGUGGGGCAAACAACAGAGAUCAAAACAGCUUGGCAAUCUGAGUUGAGGAUGAAGACACCAUUGGGGCAGAAGCAGCGAUAGCUCAAAUUUGUGGAGCAAAGUACCGGAGAAGAUAAACUGCUCCAAAUUCCAAGAGGCUGGGCAAAGAAAAACUUUGUGGAAAGAAGAAUUAUCAGGGAACUCUAAGCUGAAAAAUUGCCAGGGCUCACACAGACCUGGGGAAUUGGUUGAGUUUAUGCCACCUACAGGAUAGAGAACUUGCUGAAUGUUCAAGGAUUUUGUUACAGAUGCAAGAUGACACUUAAAGGGAUGCAAAACUAACAUCUCUGGAUUAGUCUUAAUAAAGUUUAAAAAUAAGCUUAGAAAAAGUCAAA
rnacentral:lncRNA from 1 species